CCUACGGGAGGCUGCAGUCGAGAAUCAUUCACAAUGGGGGAAACCCUGAUGGUGCGACGCCGCGUGGGGGAAUGAAGGUCUUCGGAUUGUAAACCCCUGUCAUGUGGGAGCAAAUUAAAAAGAUAGUACCACAAGAGGAAGAGACGGCUAACUCUGUGCCAGCAGCCGCGGUAAUACAGAGGUCUCAAGCGUUGUUCGGAAUCACUGGGCGUAAAGCGUGCGUAGGCUGUUUCGUAAGUCGUGUGUGAAAGGCGCGGGCUCAACCCGCGGACGGCACAUGAUACUGCGAGACUAGAGUAAUGGAGGGGGAACCGGAAUUCUCGGUGUAGCAGUGAAAUGCGUAGAUAUUGGGUAGAACACCGGUGGCGAAGGCGGCUAUCUGGCCAUUUACUGACGCUGAGGCUCGAAAGCAUGGGGAUCAAACAGGAUUAGAUACCCUAGUAGUC
rnacentral:rRNA from 1 species